GUGCAGCAGCCGCGUAAUACGGAAGGUCCGGGCGUUAUCCGGAUUCAUUGGGUUUAAAGGGAGCGCAGGCGGCUGUCAACAGCCGUCAAAUGGCCCGGCUCAACCGGGUCUUGCGGUUGGAACUGGCGGCCUUGGGUGCACAAGAGGAAGGCGGAACUCGUGGUGUAGCGGUGAAAUGCAUAGAUAUCACGAAGACCUCCGAUUGCGAAGGCAGCCUUCUGGGGUGUAACCGACGCUCAUGCUCGAAGGUGCGGGUAUCAAACAGGAUUAGAUACCCUGGUAGUCCGCACAGUAAACGAUGGACACUCGGCCUGUGGCCCUUGAGGCUGCGGGUCUCUAGCGAAAGCGUUAAGUGUCCCACCUGGGGAGUACGCCGGCAACGGUGAAACUCAAAGGAAUUGACGGGGGCCCGCACAAGCGGAGGAACAUGUGGUUUAAUUCGAUGAUACGCGAGGAACCUUACCCGGGCUUGAAAUGUGCAGGACGGGGGGCAGAGACGCCCUCUUUCUUCGGACCUGCAUGUAGGUGCUGCAUGGUUGUCGUCAGCUCGUGCCGUGAGGUGUCGGCUUAAGUGCCAUAACGAGCGCAACCCCUUCCGCCGGUUACCAUCGGGUGAUGCCGGGGACUCCGGCGGCACUGCCGCACAAGGCGUGAGGAAGGUGGGGAUGACGUCAAAUCAGCACGGCCCUUACGUCCGGGGCUACACACGUGUUACAAUGGGGGGCACAGCGAGCUGGUGACGGCGACGUGCAUCGAAUCAUUAAAUCCCCUCCCAGUUCGGAUCGGAGCCUGCAACCCGGCUCCGUGAAGCUGGAUUCGCUAGUAAUCGCGCAUCAGCCAUGGCGCGGUGAAUACGUUCCCGGGCCUUGUACACACCGCCCGU
rnacentral:rRNA from 1 species